rnacentral:rRNA from 1 species
GACGAACGCUGGCGGCGUGCUUAACACAUGCAAGUCGAACGGAAAGGCCCCUUUGGGGGUACUCGAGUGGCGAACGGGUGAGUAACACGUGAGUAACCUGCCCUUGACUUCGGGAUAACUUCAGGAAACUGGGGCUAAUACCGGAUAGGAAUCCUUGCUGCAUGGUGGGGGUUGGAAAGCUUCGGCGGUUUUGGAUGGACUCGCGGCGUAUCAGCUUGUUGGUGGGGUAGUGGCUUACCAAGGCUUUGACGGGUAGCCGGCCUGAGAGGGCGACCGGCCACAUUGGGACUGAGAUACGGCCCAGACUCCUGCGGGAGGCAGCAGUGGGGAAUAUUGCACAAUGGGCGGAAGUCUGAUGCAGCAACGCCGCGGGCGGGAUGACGGCCUUCGGGUUGUAAACCGCUUUCAGCAGGGGCGAAGCUUGUGGUGACGGUACCUGCAGAAGAAGCACCGGCUAACUACGUG